AUGAAAGGCAGCUAUGGUAGAAGAAUAAGAGGUUUAGCAAAAAAUGAGACGUGAUAUUGUUUCUCUUCCAUCGGGGGGGUAACUAGUGGGAUGCAAGUGGAUAUUCACAGUUAAACAUAAUGCAGAUGGUUCUAUUGAAAGGUAUAAGAUGAGGUUAGCGGCUUCACUCAGAGGUUAGCGGCUAAAGGCUUCACUCAGACAUAUGAAGUGGAUUAUCAGGAGACUUUUGCCCUUGUUAUAAAAUGAAUACCAUUAGAAUCUUG
rnacentral:misc_RNA from 1 species